UGCCAGCCGCCGCGGUAAUACGAGGGGUGCUAGCGUUGUCCGGAAUCAUUGGGCGUAAAGGGUUCGUAGGCGAUCUAACAAGUCAAUUGUUAAAUACAUCGGCUUAACCGAUGAAAUGCAGUUGAAACUGUUAGGAUAGAGUUUAGGAGAGGAAAGUGGAAUUUCUGGUGUAGCGGUGACAUGCGUAGAUAUCAGAAGGAACACCAAUGGCGAAGGCAACUUUCUGGCCUAAAACUGACGCUGAGGGACGAAAGCGUGGGGAGCGAACAGGAUUAGAUA
rnacentral:rRNA from 1 species